CCCGAUAAUCCACGCAUACUCAACCCCCCUUAGAUUUUCAGCAUGUGUACUGCCGUUGUAAGCACACCUCUAAAAGCUAAAGUGUGCUACCAUGAUAUAUAACUCAUACACAUCAGGUCGAAGUGCAGCAAAUAGGGAGGUGACGAUGGGUUACAACCCUAAAACAGACUAUCAACUAAGAAAUAAAAAAUCUUACGAAAGUGGACUUGGCCGUAAUCAAUUUACAAGUUAAAAAAAUGAAUACUAUCUAAGACAUGCACACAUCGCCCGUCACUCUACCCUAAAGGCUAGAUAAGUCGUAACAAAGUAGGUGUAAUGGAAAUUGCACCUGUAUAGGUAUAGCAUAUACAAUGCUUUUUACUUACACUAAAAAUAAAGUUAAUAAACUUACCUAGAAAAUAAUAUACACUCUUUUAAUAACAUAAGUAAUAGAAACACCUAUAAAUAAAUAAACACUAUAGUACAGAAAUGGAAAAAACAAUUUACAACAGUAAUUUUUAACACAUGUACCUUGUGCAUUAUGGUUUUACAAGAAAACAAUUAAAAAUAUAAAUCCCGAAUUCUAAAUGAGAUGCUAAACUGCUGUUAAGAACUCACUAGUAACUGUAGAAAAAGAUUUAAAAGACAGUUUAGCAGAGGCUACAUACCAUUCGCAUAAGAAAAUAGCUGGUUUUCAACAAACAUUAUUCAUUAAAACAUAUAAUAACAUUAUAGUGUAACAUUACUGAGGAUAAGCCCAGUAAUAUAAGCAAUACUCAUGAAAGUCAGACACCUUACAUAGGCCUAAAACCAGCCAACUAAAAUACUUUAUCGUAAUAAGUAGAGACACAAUACAUAUAACAAGCAUGCUAAAUAAAGUUGAAAUAGUGGUCAAACUAACUACACCGCCUUCACUAUGUAAAAAUAAGUAUUAUAUAACAUAACUACAUUAGUCAAGAAACUAAGAAAAUACAAAAUAGCAAUAAUUAAUUAAGGAACUCGGCAA
rnacentral:misc_RNA from 1 species